CCUACGGGUGGCAGCAGUGGGGAAUAUUGGACAAUGGGCGAAAGCCUGAUCCAGCCAUGCCGCGUGUGUGAAGAAGGCCUUCGGGUUGUAAAGCACUUUCAGUGGGGAAGAAAGCCUUGGGGCUAAUACCCUCGAGGAAGGACAUCACCGACAGAAGAAGCACCGGCUAACUCCGUGCCAGCAGCCGCGGUAAUACGGAGGGUGCGAGCGUUAAUCGGAAUUACUGGGCGUAAAGCGCGCGUAGGCGGUCUGAUAAGCCGGUUGUGAAAGCCCCGGGCUCAACCUGGGAACGGCAUCCGGAACUGUCAGGCUAGAGUGCAGGAGAGGAAGGUAGAAUUCCCUGUGUAGCGGUGAAAUGCGUAGAGAUCGGGAGGAAUACCAGUGGCGAAGGCGGCCACCUGGACUGACACUGACGCUGAGGUGCGAAAGCGUGGGUAGCAAACAGGAUUAGAUACCCUAGUAGUC
rnacentral:rRNA from 1 species